rnacentral:rRNA from 1 species
GCUUUGAUUUCUUUAGUUGAAGAGAACUGGAAAGUUCCGUCGUAGAAGGUAAUAACCCUGUAGGCGAAAAGGAAAGAAAAGUAGAUCUACUCCAGAGUACCACGAGACACGUGAAACCUUGUGGGAAGCUGGGAGGACCAUCUCCCAAGGCUAAAUACUACCUAGUGACCGAUAGUGAAGCAGUACCGUGAGGGAAAGGUGAAAAGAACCCCGGAAGGGGAGUGAAAUAGAAUCUGAAACCGUGUGCCUACAAUCGGUCGGAGCACAUUAAAGUGUGACGGCGUACUUUUUGUAGAACGGGCCAGCGAGUUACGAUAUAUAGCGAGGUUAAGCACUUAUGGUGUGGAGCCGAAGGGAAACCGAGUCUGAAUAGGGCAACUAGUUGUAUAUUGUAGACCCGAAACCGAGUGACCUAUCCAUGGCCAGGAUGAAGCGGAAGUAAAAUUCCGUGGAGGUCCGAACCACGUUGGUGUUGAAAACCCAUGGGAUGAGCUGUGGAUAGCGGAGAAAUUCCAAUCGAACUCGGAGAUAGCUGGUUCUCCUCGAAAUAGCUUUAG